rnacentral:rRNA from 1 species
UUCCAGACUCCUACGGGAGGCAGCAGUGAGGAAUAUUGGUCAAUGGCCGGAAGGCUGAACCAGCCAAGUCGCGUGAGGGACGACUGCCCUAUGGGUUGUAAACCUCUUUUAUAAGGGAAGAAUAAAUGCUACGUGUAGCAUGAUGCCUGUACCUUAUGAAUAAGCAUCGGCUAACUCCGUGCCAGCAGCCGCGGUAAUACGGAGGAUGCGAGCGUUAUCCGGAUUUAUUGGGUUUAAAGGGUGCGCAGGCGGAUUUUUAAGUCAGCGGUCAAAUCGUGGGGCUCAACCCCAUCCAGCCGUUGAAACUGGGGAUCUAGAGUGUGCGAGAGGUAUGCGGAAUGCGUGGUGUAGCGGUGAAAUGCAUAGAUAUCACGCAGAACCCCGAUUGCGAAGGCAGCAUACCGGUGCACAACUGACGCUCAGGCACGAAAGCGUGGGUAUCGAACAGGAUUAGAUACCCGAGUAC